rnacentral:rRNA from 1 species
UAGGGAAUCUUCGGCAAUGGACGAAAGUCUGACCGAGCAACGCCGCGUGAGUGAAGAAGGUUUUCGGAUCGUAAAACUCUGUUGUUAGAGAAUAACAAGGACGUUAGUAACUGAACGUCCCCUGACGGUAUCUAACCAGAAAGCCACGGCUAACUACGUGCCAGCAGCCGCGGUAAUACGUAGGUGGCAAGCGUUGUCCGGAUCUCUUUGGCGUAAAGCGAGCGCAGGCGGUUUCUUAAGUCUGAUGUGAAAGCCCCCGGCUCAACCGGGUAGGGUCAUUGGAAACUAUGAGACUUUAGUGCAGAUGAGGUGAUUGGAAUUCCAUGUGUAGCUGUGCAGUGCGUAGAUAUAUGGAGGAACACCAGUGGCGAAAGCGGCUCUCUGAUCUGUAACUGACGCUGAGGCUCGACAGCGUAGGGAGCAAACAGG